AUACAUUACAACGCAACAGUGACGAUGUCUGAUGAAGGCAAAAUUAUGACACAGACGAAACUAUGACGAAAAUAAAAGCUGACAAAGACGAGACGAGACAAGACGAAUGCGAGACGAAACUGAAAAUAGCUGACUAAGUUAACACUGCAUAACACGUAUCAUUAAAAAGUAAUUAAACACAAUUACGUAAUAAAAUAAACAUUGUACUAAUUACUAAUCAAAUACAUAGGAUGUGAACCAUAUUUAAAUUGGGGUUAAUCUUCCUACCGAAGUUUGAAACAUUUUUAAAGAACCUUAUCCUGGGUUAUUUAAUAAUUUUUGUACAAUAUUCCUCCUUUUUUAUUUCAUUAUUAGCAUGAGCUCAUGCUGCUAUUAAUUGUAGCCUCAUUACAGUUCUUCUAUUUAAUUAAUUUUAAAAAUACUUAUGAAUGACAUAGAUUUACACGUGGCGUUUGAUUGGAUAAAAGACGUAUAUAUACUAAAGAUGAUUGUUUAUAUCAACUUAUGUAUUUUCUGAAAAGAAGUACACUCUCCAUGUAUAUAGUGAUCCCUGCAUAGAUACAGAUGUUUAUAAUUAAAAGCUAAGUAUUCAUAUUUUAUCCUACUUUUAUUUGAUUUAUACCAUGGAUUCCUUAACAUCUGGAUAAACUAUUCGCUUUAAAAAUUACACAACCUCUCUAUUAGAAGUAUUUCUGUUUUGAUUCAAUAAGUUAUAUGAAUAUAUUCUUUUAACGUCAAUUAGUUAUAAAUAAAUCUUAUUUUCAUAUAAUUUGAUUAUUCUAACUGGACGUGAAAUAUGCCUUCAACUGUGUGGUUCAUAGUUGACACACUGGUAAAACAUCUGAUUGAAAGCUCAAUGAUAAUAAAAUGAUAACUUCUUUGCAUACAGCUCCAACAUCAAACAUAUAAAUUCUUACUAAAUGAAAAUCAGCUAUACCAAUAAAUGAUUUUGAAAAAGAAACUAAAUGAAAUAAUAGAGAACUUAAGGGACAUAAUUAAGAAAAAGUGAUAUACCAUUUUUAAAAACAAAAGUGACAAUUAAGCAAAGGACCUGUAUAAUGUCAAUGGGUGAGGAGACGCGUAAAAAUUAGAUAUCAAUUGUGCCUACAAAAAUAAGAGUAGAUUGAAUGGAAGAUCAAGUUCAAUUUCUAUACAUAGCAAAAUCAGAUUAAGGUUGUCCAGUUAUUGGAUUUAGUUUAAUAAUACAAAGAGACUUGAAAUAUCAAAUGUGGAAUACUGCAAAUUAGAUUUUAAACAAAGAAAUAAGUCAUCGGUGUUUGUAAAGCAAAUAAAUACAUGUAGUUAAGUUAUAAAUUUACUUGUUUUUUGAAGAAUAAGCGUAAGAACGUUGCCAAAAAAGAUGCAAUUUUUAGAAUAAACAGCUCCAAU
rnacentral:lncRNA from 1 species